CCUACGGGAGGCAGCAGUGAGGAAUAUUGGUCAAUGGGCGAGAGCCUGAACCAGCCAAGUCGCGUGAAGGAUGACGGACCUAUGGAUUGUAAACUUCUUUUAUAUGGGAGUAAAAUGCUCCACGUGUGGCAUUUUGUAUGUACCAUAUGAAUAAGCAUCGGCUAACUCCGUGCCAGCAGCCGCGGUAAUACGGAGGAUGCGAGCGUUAUCCGGAUUUAUUGGGUUUAAAGGGUGCGUAGGUGGAUAGUUAAGUCAGGUGUGAAAGUUUGUGGCUCAACCAUACAAUUGCCGUUGAAACUGGUUGUCUUGAGUACACGAGAGGUAGGCGGAAUGCGUGGUGUAGCGGUGAAAUGCAUAGAUAUCACGCAGAACUCCGAUUGCGAAGGCAGCUUACUGAACUUCAACUGACACUGAUGCACGAAAGUGUGGGUAUCAAACAGGAUUAGAUACCCCUGUAGUC
rnacentral:rRNA from 1 species